GCUUGACUGUAUCUUGGAAUUGGGUUCGGGCUUUUCUUGCGCAGACUAGGUGGGAGGCUAUGAAGAUUUUCUUCUGGGAAAGUUGGAGCCAACAGUGAGAGACCACUCUGGAAAGGCUAGGAAUCCUAAUGGUGAUCCUUGAAUCAGGACACUUGACAGUUUCAGGUGGGCAGUUUUUCUGGGGCGGAAGCCUCGUAAAAGGUAACUGAGGCGCGCAAAGGUCCCCUCAGUCUGGACGGAAAUCAGACAUUGAGUGUAAAGGCAAAAGGGGGCUUGACUGCAAGACCCACAAGUCGAGCAGGGGCGAAAGCUGGCCUUAGUGAUCCGACGGUGCCGUGUGGAAGGACCGUCGCUCAACGAAUAAAAGUUA
rnacentral:rRNA from 1 species